CCUACGGGGGGCAGCAGUGGGGAAUAUUGGACAAUGGGGGGAACCCUGAUCCAGCGACGCCGCGUGAGUGAAGAAGUAUUUCGGUAUGUAAAGCUCUAUCAGCAGGGAAGAAAGAUAUGACGGUCCCUGACUCAGAAGCCCCGGCUAACUACGUGCCCGCAGCCGCGGUAAUACGUAGGGGGCAAGCGUUAUCCGGUUUUACUGGGUGUAAAGGGAGCGUAGACGGCGAUGCAAGUCUGAAGUGAACGGCGGGGGCCCAACCCCCGGACUGCUUUGGAAACUGUAUGGCUGGAGUGAAGGAGAGGUAAGUGGAAUUCCUAGUGUAGCGGUGAAAUGCGUAGAUAUUAGGAGGAACACCAGUGGCGAAGGCGGCUUACUGGACUGUAACUGACGUUGAGGCUCGAAAGCGUGGGGAGCAAACAGGAUUAGAUACCCUGGUAGUC
rnacentral:rRNA from 1 species